AUCUAGUCACGGAUAUAGCAUCAUGCUUUUCUUGGUGAACUCAUGUUCUUGAUCAGGCAAAAGAAGAAGAGGAUCUGAAAUCUCCUCGAUCUCUCGACCUCGAGGUCUAUCUUCUUCCACAGCCUCCUCCGAUCCCUCCUUCUUCUUCGCCCUCUCUUCCCCUUUCGUCGCCGUCGAGCUUCGCGCUCUCGGUUGGAGGAGUCCGGCUCGAAAAGAUGGAGGAUCGAUGGGUGGCUGUAGAAGACGGCGAGCCCGAGCCAAUCUCCGAAUCUUUCACUUGCUGCGUUUGCCUGGACCUUCUUUACAAGCCAGUCGUAUUACCUUGUGGCCAUAUCU